rnacentral:rRNA from 1 species
GCAUAAUCAGUAGCUUUUUAAUUGAGGGCUGGAAUGAAUGGUAGGAACUGAUAGGAAUGUUUUAUUUUAUAAUUUUGAAUUUAAAUUAAAAGUAAAAAUGUUUUUGUAAACUCUUGGGACGAGAAGACCCUAGAAGCUUAAAAUUUUUAAAUUUUUGAUUGGGGCAAUUUUUGAAGAAAAAAAUUUUUAUAUAGUACACAAGGAUAAUUUUGUUAAAGUUACUCUAGGGAUAACAGCGUUAUUUAAUUGAUAAGUUCUUAUUAAUAGUUAAGUUUGCGACCUCGAUGUUGAAUUAAUU